UAUAAACCAUGUCAUAUUAAUUCAAAUAUCAUCAUCUGCCUGCAAUUUAGCCCUUGAAUCUAAACUGAAGGAGAGAUGGUGUUUUGACUUAAUAGGAAAG
rnacentral:pre_miRNA from 1 species